rnacentral:rRNA from 1 species
GUGGGGGAUAUUGGACAAUGGGGGGAACCCUGAUCCAGCGACGCCGCGUGAGUGAAGAAGUAUUUCGGUAUGUAAAGCUCUAUCAGCAGGGAAGAAAAUGACGGUACCUGAGUAAGAAGCCCCGGCUAACUACGUGCCAGCAGCCGCGGUAAUACGUAGGGGGCAAGCGUUAUCCGGAUUUACUGGGUGUAAAGGGAGCGUAGACGGCCAUGCAAGUCUGAAGUGAAAGGCGGGGGCUUAACCCCCGGACUGCUUUGGAAACUGCAGGGCUGGAGUGCAGGAGAGGUAAGUGGAAUUCCUAGUGUAGCGGUGAAAUGCGUAGAUAUUAGGAGGAACACCAGUGGCGAAGGCGGCUUACUGGACUGUAACUGACGUUGAGGCUCGAAAGCGUGGGGAGCAAACAGGA